rnacentral:rRNA from 1 species
GACGGGGGCCCGCACAAGCGGAGGAACAUGUGGUUUAAUUCGAUGAUACGCGAGGAACCUUACCCGGGCUUGAACUGCAGGAGAACGAUUCAGAGAUGAUGAGGUCCUUCGGGACUCCUGUGGAGGUGCUGCAUGGUUGUCGUCAGCUCGUGCCGUGAGGUGUCGGCUUAAGUGCCAUAACGAGCGCAACCCCUUUCGUUAGUUGCCAUCAGGUAAUGCUGGGCACUCUGGCGAUACUGCCACCGUAAGGUGUGAGGAAGGUGGGGAUGACGUCAAAUCAGCACGGCCCUUACGUCCGGGGCUACACACGUGUUACAAUGGGUGGUACAGAGAGUGGGUCGUCUGCAAAUGCGAUCAAAUCCUAAAAGCCAUCCUCAGUUCGGAUUGGGGUCUGCAACCCGACCCCAUGAAGCUGGAUUCGCUAGUAAUCGCGCAUCAGCCAUGGCGCGGUGAAUACGUUCCCGGGCCUUGUACACACCGCCCGUCAAGCCAUGAAAGCCGGGGGCGCUUGAAGUCCGUGACCGCAAGGAUCGGCCUAGAGCGAAACUGGUAAUUGGGGCUAAGUCGUAACAAGGGGG